rnacentral:ncRNA from 2 species
GGAAGACGGUGAGAAUCCGUCGCGGACGCGCCGCUGUAACCGGUAUUGUUUACGUUUUGCAUGAUCACUGGCCCUGACAGGGGUUGGGAAGGUCAUGCAGUUUUAAGAGCCCGGAAGCCAGAAGAC